GGGCGGGUCGUCUAGCCCGGUUAGGAUACCGGCCUGUCGAGCCGGUGACCCGGGUUCAAAUCCCGGCCCGCCCG
rnacentral:tRNA from 1 species